rnacentral:tRNA from 1 species
GCGUCAGUAGCUCAGAUGGAUAGAGCGCUUGGCUACGGACCAAGAGGUCGUGAGUUCGACUCUUACCUGGCGUA